rnacentral:rRNA from 1 species
UACGUAGGGGGCAAGCGUUGUCCGGAUUUACUGGGUGUAAAGGGUGCGUAGGCGGGUUGGUAAGUCAGUGGUGAAAUCUCAUAGCUUAACUAUGAAACUGCCUCUGAUACUGCCAAUCUUGAGUUCAGAAGAGAGAGAUGGAAUUCCAGGUGUAGUGGUGAAAUACGUAGAUAUCUGGAGGAACACCAGAGGCGAAGGCGAUCUCUUGGUCUGUAACUGACGCUGAGGCACGAAAGCGUGGGUAGCGAACAGG